CACAGGACUGACUCCUCACCCCAGUG
rnacentral:miRNA from 1 species